rnacentral:guide_RNA from 1 species
AUAUAAACCCAACUAAUGAAUUACUAUGAGAUCGGACGUCAAAUUAU